AAAGUUUCCUUCGGGGAACAAGUAGAGUGGCGCACGGGUGAGUAACACGUAGGUAAUCUACCUUUGGAUGGGGAAUAACAAUCGGAAACGAUUGCUAAUACCGCAUAAUGCAGCGGCACCUAAUGGUGACAGUUGUUAAAGCGGGGGAUCGAAAGACCUCGCGUCUGAAGAGGAGCCUGCGGCGGAUUAGCUAGUUGGUAAGGUAAUGGCUUACCAAGGCUACGAUCCGUAACCGGCCUGAGAGGGCGGUCGGUCACACUGACACUGACAUACGGGUCAGACUCCUACGGGAGGCAGCAGUCGGGAAUUUUGGGCAAUGGGCGAAAGCCUGACCCAGCAACGCCGCGUGAAGGAUGAAAUCCCUCGGGAUGUAAACUUCGCAAGAACAGGAAGAAUAAGCGAGAGUUAAUAUCUCUCGUGAUGACGGUACUGUUUGUAAGCUCCGGCUAACUCCGUGCCAGCAGCCGCGGUAAUACGGGGGGAGCAAGCGUUGUUCGGAUUUACUGGGCGUAAAGGGCGCGUAGGCGGUCAGCACAAGUCAGUUGUGAAAUCUCCGAGCUUAACUCGGAAAGGUCAACUGAUACUGUGCGACUAGAGUGCGGAAGGGGCAACUGGAAUUCUUGGUGUAGCGGUGAAAUGCGUAGAUAUCAAGAGGAACACCUGCGGCGAAGGCGGGUUGCUGGGCCGACACUGACGCUGAUGCGCGAAAGCCAGGGGAGCGAACGGGAUUAGAUACCCCGGUAGUCCUGGCCUUAAACGAUGAAUGCUUGGUGUCUGGGGUUAUAAAGUCCCCGGGUGCCGUCGCUAACGCUUUAAGCA
rnacentral:rRNA from 1 species